rnacentral:rRNA from 1 species
AUUGAACGCUGGCGGCAGGCCUAACACAUGCAAGUCGAGCGAGCGGCGGACGGGUGAGUAAUGCCUGGGAAUUGCCAACUCGCGGGGGAUAACAGUUGGAAACGACUGCUAAUACCGCAUACGAUUGGCUUGCCCAGGUGGGGUUAGCUAGUUGGUGAGGUAAUGGCUCACCAAGGCGACGGUCCCUCGCUGGUCUGAGAGGUUGAUCAGCCACACUGGAACUGAGACACGGCCCAGACUCCUACGGGAGGCAGCAGUGGGGAAUAUUGCACAAUGGGGGAAACCCUGACGCAGCAAUGCCGCGUGAGUGAAGAAGGCUUUCGGGUUGUAAAGCACUUUCAUUGAGGAGGCGUUACUCGAAGAAGAAGCACCGGCUAACUCCGUGCCAGCAGCCGCGGUAAUAC